AACUUCAAAUACCCUCUUGUGAUUUUACAUUUUUUCACUUUAGUACCAUGUGGUUUAAAGUGUAUCAAGUUAGUACCAUGUGAUUUCGCACUUUCUUACUUUAGUACCAUGUGGUUUCUAGUGUAUCAAGUUAGUAUUCUGUAAUUUUAUUUUUGUAUCAAGUUAGUACCCUGUGGUUUCAAUUUUCUCUUUUUAUUAUCCAUUUCGGGGUAUAUAAUUUAACGAAAUAUUAAACCACAUAGUACUAAAAUGAGAAAGUGCGAAACCAUAGGGUACUAACUUGAUACACUUGAAACCGCAGGGUACUAAAGUGAGAAGGUGCAAAAUAACAAGGGGGGGU
rnacentral:lncRNA from 1 species